ACUGGUUUCUUUUUUUCCCAUGUUUCCCACCUGAAGUGACAAAGGGAAAAGCAGCAAGGGAAUGAAAAUUCCCCGAUGAAUGCAUCUGGGGAAAAAAAACAAAACAAUGCAAUGAAAAAAAUUACCACUGAAAGUGACAGAAGAGUGGGUGGAUAAUAAGCCCAAAUAGGACUUGAAAAAAACUUCCCUGGAGGCAGACUCUGACAAAUACAGUAUUGUAUCAAUACAGAGGUAGAAAUCAAGAUUUGAGGAAGGAAUUGGAAAGGAGCUAAAUGGGCCUCUCCUGUGGGGAACCAGGAAAAUUGCCACAAAAAUUUAAGAAAAAAAAAUACAACAGUUAGAUUUGGGCACAUAAACAGUUGCAAAUAAUUAAGCAGCAAGCCGGGAUGAGAUGGUGAGCAAGGCCAGCCCUUCAAUUAAAAUACAUUUGACAACUAGCCUGAGACUGGGGAGGCUACUUAACUGCUUGUUUUCAUGUAGCCAGGAGCUACGAACUAUACACAGAUGGUCCCUAACUCCAGCUGGGAUACAUUUUCCAGGUGAUAUCUUACACCAGAAAUGUUGCAGAGAUUUCUUUUCCUGUGUGUGCUGGAAUCUACCUGUCAGAGCAAAUGGAAGGAGGGAGUACCUGCUUCAUUAAUGUCAUCUAAUCAAGGACCUUAUCAAGCGGAAUGACAAAGGGAGGAAGCCAAACACAGAGAUGUACAAUGUACCUGAACAACACUCACAGAGACAACAACAGGGACAGCCCUGGUCAGCCAGAGUAUGUGGCAAGGGUAUGUGGAGAGGGAGGAUGCUUGUUUCAGAAUGCAGUGAGCACCAAGCUGUUCAGCUGGUGAUUUGGGACCAUGGGGCAGGUAAGAAGGCUGAGGAUCUGGGCAGGGCUGUCAGAAAACCAGGGAGGCCAUGCCUGUACUUGGGGAUCUGCAACAAUGCAUGUGCUUGUGAGGGUAGAGGAGGGAGGCAUGUGUGUUUUCAGUAGUGACCCUCAGCCUUGACAGCCAAAGGGGAAAAAAGGGAAAGGCUGUUUGUUGGUACUUGAGUGAGCCCUGGGCAGAGGUGCUGUUGAAGUUGCUGCUGGUUGAGCAGGAAAGUAGCAGCCACUUUCACCAGCCUGGGACAGAGACACCAGGCCCCCACACGGGUCCAGCAGGGAGAAGGAUGCCCAGCCCCAGAUCUAUGGGUGGCAACCCCUUCCUUUAACAUCCCUUUGCACAACUGGGUACAGAGAAUUGUCAGAAGCAGCAAUGCUAGAAAUACCCAAAUGUAUGCCAGGAGAGACACAUUUUAAAAAAUCUACCAGCAAUAAUUUGCAUAUACCUUGCCUGAGGGGAAAGCCUGAGUGGUACCACUUAUGACAAGAACAUUUUAUUUCAAUUUGCCAAACACUCAAGCUGCCUCCUCAAACCCGAGCUUCCUUCAGCCCAGCUCCUGACAAGAAAAUUACCUUCAUUUCCUCUCUCUUUUUCUUUCGAACAUGUCAUACAAGCAGCAAUAAACUGUGCCCCAAAUAACCUCUCUCACUGUAGAGACAAAGCCCAAGUACACUGCUUUGGGAAAUCUCUCCAUUAAUACCCAAUGGCUUGGACUAUCCCAAGACUUACUUCUGCCAUAACACAAUGCUCCUUUGAAUAUGCUUGUUGUUGAGUUUUUCUGUGUUACCUAAAAUUUCUGCAGGUCAUACCACAGAGGGAGGAAGAGGAGGAAAAGCAUGGUGGAAAGGAUGUCUCAUGACCCAGCUGGAGAGUGCUGAGAGUCAUGGAAGGAAUGGAAGGUAACUGUGGACAUGAGGGAGAGCUAGAGAACCCAUGUCCAUGGGGAAAAGACACAAGGACAGGAGAGAGGGAUUUUUUACAGGUCUCUGACCAAAGGAUGCUCCAAGGUAAUUCAGAGUAUUAAUCAGGGCAAGCUGUUUUGUUCCAUCUAAAUUGAAAUGAGUUUGCCUGUUUAUUUCACUAAUUUUGAACCAGACAACCAUGAUUUUGGAGCUAUGGUAAAGCAUACACUAUAGCAAUUAUUCAUGUAAUUACUAGCAUAUGAAAUAAGAGAAUUCUGAUUAUUGUGAAAGUUGAGCAGUGAGCAGAGAGUGGUAGUGGCCAUGGAAAAGGUAGAAUGCUGAACUACACAAGCCCAUUUCCAUGAAGGGAUAAUGAAAAGCUUCUGAACAGAAUUUGUAUGAUAUAAUUUAAGGUCUUUGUAACACAUCAUCUUUUUAUUCCCACACUCCUGGCAAACUAACACCUCUCUAUAUGCAUAAUAUUUUAUAAUAACUAUGAUCCCAAAGAAUAAAUGACUAUAUUAUGACAUUUUCUCUAGUGUUUACUGUGUUUUCCUGGCAUGUGUUGUUAAUAAGCCCCAUGUCACAUACAGCAUUUUAAAAUGGUUUACAGGAGAAAUCUUUUCAUAGCCUCUAAGACAAUGCAAAACCUACUUCAUCCUUACAUACACAGCAUCUAGCUGCAAACUUCUCAAGGUACAGACAUGUCUCCCUGGAAACACAGACUACAACAGAUGCAUUAUCCUUGGUACCUGAGAGAGGUCACUGUCACGUAUUUCCAAAUAAGUGCAAAAAGCCAUCAAAUGAAUUUAAUUGCCUUCAUUUCUUUUAACUUUUUCCAGCAGAGCAUGGGGCUUGCCUUCAGGCAGUGGCAAUCUUAUUCCUUCUGCUUUUAAAAUCUGUGUUGAAUAAUCACAGAUGUUUUCAUUAAAACAUAGUAAAGCAAAAUCCUUUAACUGUUCUGUUAAAAUGCUGGCUUCAGCGAUGACUUGGACAAUUAAUUAAGGUAAAAUAAAAUGCUUUUAUUGUCUACAUCA